GCAUCUCCCAGAACUGUACUGAACCAUGAAUUGACCCUGAAUCGGAAGGCAUGUGCUAGAAUGGUGGGAAAGACAGAAAGAGCUGAAUCCCUGAUUUGGAGCGGCUGCACCACCUCUGUACUCUUUACCUUAGAAGAGAAAACCUAUCUUAAGUUGCUGUUAUUUAAGGUGUUCUGCCACAGAAACAGACAGGAAGCCAAAGCCCAGCAGUCAGCGGCACUCCUCUGGACUUGAUCCUCUAUGACGUCAUCUGGCUUUGUUUCCCGGUGUUUAGAGAAAGACUGUGGAACCGUUGCCGUGGCAGUUCUAUUAAACAUGAGUCAUUGCAGACACCUUCCCAUGUGCAGCAUUCUUCAUUGAAGAGAUCUCAGUAUGUGUACUGUUUGCAAACGACAGAGAGUCCAGGGGUUUGGAACCUGCUCUUGGAAGCCUCAGAUACGGUUCUGUAAAACGGAGGAGGGAUCAAAGAUCGGCUUUCACAAUGCAUUCUUUAGGAUUUCAACAUGAUAAAGGAACGGAGUGAUGGAUAAUGAGGAUAAGAUUCUGUGAUGUCUCCUAAGUCUGUAACAUGUCUCCAUGGAUUUGUUUUAAGAAUAUUUCAGCUUCUUAUAUACUCAAGAUGUCCAGACUGUAUCUUGGAAAAAAAUAAAUUUAUGAAAGAAAAAACACAUUUUAUUAAAUAUAAAACCAAAAAAAAAACCCACACAGAA